CACCCACUUCAGAGCGCCCGAGAGACCUGGCUCGUUGACGGCGCGGCAACCGGACUUCAUUGCGUCACGGUGCCAAGGCCAGCCCACCCGGCUUGCGGCUCAACGAUGAGCG
rnacentral:ncRNA from 1 species